rnacentral:misc_RNA from 1 species
AUUUUAUUUUCUCAUGUCUCAUAAGUCAUAAUAUAUGUCCAUUUCAUAACACAUUCUUAUAGCCUAAGUCUCUCCAACUAUUAAUAUAAAUUCACUCUUAUAAUAUCAUAUUGCUUGCUCUUAAAGAUGGAUCAACUUGGAAAUGAUGAUCAAGUUUCCAUGACAAUAGAGAACCAUGAAAUGUUGUUCUCUUCUGAUUCCGAAGUCGAGUCUCCUAGUCCAAGGACAAAUUAUCAUUUCAGGUCGUUGAAGAGCAAUGAAGUAAUGAAACUGGAAGAAGGUGACCAAGAUCAUGAUUUGAUUAAGGCAGGUUUUCUUAGUGGAAUG